CUAUAUUACACAAUACUCAUCUAGACCAAUUGAAUCAAAUGCAUUAAAUUCAAAACUAAUGGAAGGGGAAAAGGUUUUAGUCCCUACUUAAAAUUAUCUUUGUAUGAGUAUGUUAAAAAUUGAAAUUCAUCAGUUAUAUAAAUUACAUGUAUUACUAUAUUACAGAAUAUUCAUCGGAACCUAUUGAAUCAAAUGCAUUAAAUUCAAAACUAUAGGAAGGGGAAAAGGUUUUAGUCCCUUCUUUAACAUUAUCUUUGUAUGAGUAUGUUAAAUUUGAAAUUCCUUAUCAAUUAUGUAAAUUACAUGUAUUACUUUAUUACAGAAUAUUCAUCGGAACCUAUUGAAUCAAAUGCAUUAAAUUCAAAACUAAUGGAAGGGGAAAGGUUUUAGUCCCUACUUAAAAUUAUCUUGAUAUGAGUAUGUUAAAAAUUGAAAUUCCUUAUCAGUUAUCCAAAUUACAUGUAUUACUAUAUUACAGAAUAUUCAUCGGAACCUAUUGAAUCAAAUGCAUUAAAUUCAAAACUAUAGGAAGGGGAAAAGGUUUUAGUCCCUUCUUUAACAUUAUCUUUGUAUGAGUAUGUUAAAUUUGAAAUUCCUUAUCAAUUAUGUAAAUUACAUGUAUUACUAUAUUACACAAUACUCAUCUAGACCAAUUGAAUCAAAUGCAUUAAAUUCAAAACUAAUGGAAGGGGAAAAGGUUUUAGUCCCUACUUAAAAUUAUCUUUGUAUGAGUAUGUUAAAAAUUGAAAUUCAUCAGUUAUAUAAAUUACAUGUAUUACUUUAUUACAGAAUAUUCAUCAGAACCUACUGAAUCAAAUGCAUUAAAUUCAAAACUUAUGGAAGGGGAAAAGGUUUUAGUCCCUACUUAAAAUUAUCUUGGUAUGAGUACGUUAAAAAUUGAAAUUCAUCAGUUAUAUAAAUUACAUGUAUUACUUUAUUACAGAAUAUUCAUCGGAACCUAUUGAAUCAAAUGCAUUAAAUUCAAAACUAAUGGAAGGGGAAAGGUUUUAGUCCCUACUUAAAAUUAUCUUGAUAUGAGUAUGUUAAAAAUUGAAAUUCCUUAUCAGUUAUCCAAAUUACAUGUAUUACUAUAUUACAGAAUAUUCAUCGGAACCUAUUGAAUCAAAUGCAUUAAAUUCAAAACUAUAGGAAGGGGAAAAGGUUUUAGUCCCUUCUUUAACAUUAUCUUUGUAUGAGUAUGUUAAAUUUGAAAUUCCUUAUCAAUUAUGUAAAUUACAUGUAUUACUUUAUUACAGAAUAUUCAUCGGAACCUAUUGAAUCAAAUGCAUUAAAUUCAAAACUAAUGGAAGGGGAAAGGUUUUAGUCCCUACUUAAAAUUAUCUUGAUAUGAGUAUGUUAAAAAUUGAAAUUCCUUAUCAGUUAUCCAAAUUACAUGUAUUACUAUAUUACACAAUACUCAUCUAGACCAAUUGAAUCAAAUGCAUUAAAUUCAAAACUAAUGGAAGGGGAAAAGGUUUUAGUCCCUACUUAAAAUUAUCUUGAUAUGAGUAUGUUAAAAAUUGAAAUUCCUUAUCAGUUAUCCAAAUUACAUGUAUUACUUUAUUACAGAAUAUUCAUCGGAACCUAUUGAAUCAAAUGCAUUAAAUUCAAAACUAAUGGAAGGGGAAAGGUUUUAGUCCCUACUUAAAAUUAUCUUGAUAUGAGUAUGUUAAAAAUUGAAAUUCCUUAUCAGUUAUCCAAAUUACAUGUAUUACUAUAUUACACAAUACUCAUCUAGACCAAUUGAAUCAAAUGCAUUAAAUUCAAAACUAAUGGAAGGGGAAAAGGUUUUAGUGCCUACUUAACAUUAUCUUUGUAUGAGUAUGUUAAAAAUUGAAAUUCCUUAUCAGUUAUCCAAAUUACAUGUAUUACUAUAUUACACAAUAUUCAUCGGAACCAAUUGAAACAAAUGCAUUAAAUUCAAAACUACUGGAAGGGGAAAAGGUUUUAGUGCCUACUUAACAUUAUCUUUGUAUGAGUAUGUUAAAAAUUGAAAUUCCUUAUCAGUUAUCCAAAUUACAUGUAUUACCAUAUUACACAAUAUUCAUCGGAACCUAUUGAAUCAAAUGCAUUAAAUUCAAAACUAAUGGAAGGGGAAAAGGUUUUAGUCCCUACUUAACAUUAUCUUUGUAUGAGUAUGUUAAAAAUUGAAAUUCCUUAUCAGUUAUCCAAAUUACAUGUAAACACCGUGUUUUAAACUUGAUAAUCAUACAUUCAUACGCAAUACGCAAUACGCAAAAGAUAUAAGUGUUGAGAGAAUGGCGAUCGGCGAAACUACUGGUCGAGAGCGCGGCUGCGUAAAUACUGAAUACCUACACAGUACAGUGUACACAGUACACAUAGUCGUGGCGGGGUAUGGCGGUGGCAGCGUCGUAGCGACGGGACAAGCAGCCGUUAGAAGGAUUUCGGGUUUCCCCGAAUAAAACUCAACAACAACACCAAAUUUAUAUAAUAUUAUUUAAUAUUUAUAUCACAAAUCAUAAUUAUUUCUUUGAAUUUGUGGCGGUGAUUGGCUGUCUUUGUCUAACACACGCACAACUUUAGAAUUUAGACGCGUUUUUGUCCAACGUACCGAUUUAUACAGUUAAGCAAUAAGAAUUCUGAAAACAGAUUUGAAUUGGUCAUCGAGUGUACUUGAGAUCGGCUGGCUAGUCCACUUUUUCCAGUUAACCUACGUACAAAUUAAUAAAAAUUUUAUACUACUUAGGUACAUAAAAUUAAAAAACACUAAGUGAAAUACCGUUUUAAAAUCAUCAACCAAUGUAAGGAAAUUACAAGGUAUAGGUAUUAGCUACAUAAAUGUUAGGUCACAUAUACAACUAUAUAAAUUACAAUUGCCUAUAUAUGUAGGAUAAGAUAGAUUAUAAUGUAUUAUAUCAAAAUAAUAUAAUAAUUACCGAUUAUACCGUAAUUCCAGAAUGUGUAUCAACACAAAAUUGUUUUGAGAUAGACAAGGUUUAAUUCUUAACUCUAUUCAUACCCGUCAUUAUGCACCUUUUUGAAAAUAAACAAUAAUAACAGCUUUGCAGUUUAGUAUAUAUAUCUGAAUGCCCUAGUAUAUUUAUUUUAUUUUCGCAAAAGGUAAAUAAUAUACGGACAAUAUUAAGCGAUAUUUAGCUUAGAAAUACACCCAUACACGAUAUGAUACAAACAAAAUAGUGAAAAUUCAGACGUUUUAACACACCAUGAAUUCCAAUUUAUAUUAUAUAUACUAUAUUAUUAGAAUAAAAUAUUUUUAUUUUUAUUUAUUUUUCGGAGUGAGUGUUUAGUUUUAUUAGUCUGUCCUGGAAACGUGUUAAAUUUAAAUAUGUUCAAUGUAAUAAAAAUCCAACUGCAGGCAACUGUACGGUCUACGAAUAAAUACGAAUAAUAAAACGUAUACCAACUAUAUAAAACCACAGAAUAGAUUAAAUCGAUUAGAUUUAGAUUUUUAAUCUAUGUUAAUCUAACAUUUUAAAACUAACUUCUACCAUUAUCCUGAGCUGAAAAAAGUAAUAAUAUACAAGAUUUUCAAGAAAAAGAAUUCGAUGCAAAUAGACUAGGAAUAGUUAUACAUACGUAUUAUUGAAAUAAAUUACACAAUUAUAAUUGUAAUGACAAUAAAAAAUUGUAAGUAGGUAGAUAUGUAUAAAAAAAAAAUUGUAAUCACUAAUACUAGUACUAAGAAUAUUAUAUGUAACAUGUAUUUUAGAUUUCUGUUUAAGAUUAAGCAUAAAUCUUUUUUUGUAGUACGGAGGUUUACGAAACACGUACUGUCCGUACUGAUAUUACAUAUUUACAUAUAUGCAGUGGGAAAAAUGUUGAGGGGGAACUAACGUCACCAAAAAUUAAGGAGCGUUCCCGAGUUCUUUAUCCAAAGUCUAUAUCUAACCAAACUUUUUUAAGAAACCUAAAUAUAAAAAACUAUUAAAAAACAAUUUAUAGUACCUAAAUCUUAUUAAAUCACUAUUCAUAUUCUUUCAGUUUAAUAUUUUAUUUAAAUCAUAAUUAUUAUAUCCCAUGAAAUCGCGUGAAUGUGGAUAAUACAUUACUACACAAUAAUUUAUUAUUUAAUAAUCGCUUAUCGCACUUAACCAUCUUCAGAACGUGGAGAUUAUUCGCGCAAAAUAAAAUAGGUACGUUUAAAUUCGAUGUUUAAUCAAUGUGAGUGUCUGCGUAAGCCAUUUAAGAAAUUAUUAAAAUUAACAUGCAACAUAAAUUUACAGUUAAUUUUUUUAAGCGUCCGCCGGGACUUUGGAGACUUAAAUUAAAGAGGACGCAUAAUCUUACCGUAAAUAAGAAGGGCCAGAAGGGGUACACCACCCACCAACACUUUAACCACUGCAUAUAUGGUGUGAUGACACAUUUUUACAUAUUAUAAUUCAUACAGUAAUGUAAGGACAAGCGAGUGUGGAAUAUCUUAUUAGUAAAAUAAUUUAACAAUUAAAGUAGAAACACACGUCUCUUUGCUAAAAGUUAAAAGUCAAUGUCUCUGCGAUAAGUUCGGAAC